AUCCAACUGACGAGUCCCAAAUAGGAUGAACUGUGUAUCCUGGAU
rnacentral:hammerhead_ribozyme from 1 species